GACGAACGCUGGCGGCGUGCUUAACACAUGCAAGUCGAACGGUAAGGCCCUUCGGGGUACACGAGUGGCGAACGGGUGAGUAACACGUGUGUGAUCUGCCCUGCACAUCGGGAUAAGCCUGGGAAACUGGGUCUAAUACCGGAUAGGACCACUGCCUGCAUGGGUGGUGGUGGAAAGCUUUUGCGGUGUGGGAUGGGCCCGCGGCCUAUCAGCUUGUUGGUGGGGUGAUGGCCUACCAAGGCGACGACGGGUAGCCGGCCUGAGAGGGUGACCGGCCACACUGGGACUGAGAUACGGCCCAGACUCCUACGGGAGGCAGCAGUGGGGAAUAUUGCACAAUGGGCGCAAGCCUGAUGCAGCGACGCCGCGUGAGGGAUGACGGCCUUGGGUUGUAAACCUCUUUCAGCACCGACGAAGCGCAAGUGACGGUAGGUGCAGAAGAAGGACCGGCCAGCUACGUGCCAGCAGCCGCGGUAA
rnacentral:rRNA from 1 species